rnacentral:rRNA from 1 species
GACGAACGCUGGCGGCGUGCUUAACACAUGCAAGUCGAACGGAAAGGCCCUGCUCUUGCGGGGUGCUCGAGUGGCGAACGGGUGAGUAACACGUGAGUAACCUGCCCUUGAAUUUGGGAUAACUUCAGGAAACUGGGGCUAAUACCGGAUAGGAGCUCCUGCUGCACGGUGGGGGUUGGAAAGAUUCGGCGGUUGGGGAUGGUCUCGCGGCAUAUCCGCUGCUUGGUGGGGUAGUGGCUUCCAAAGGCUAUCACGGGUAGCCGGCCUGGGAGGGUGACGGGCUCCCUUAGUACUGAGCCACGGCCCAGACUCCUACGGGAGGCAACAGUGGGGAUUCUUACGCAGUGGGCCGAAGCCCGUGACAGCAGCGCCGCGUGCGGGAUGCCGGCCUUCGGGUUGAGAACCACUUUCUCAUUUACCGUAGCGUGUUUGACGGUAACGGGUAAAGAAGCACCGGCUAACUACGUG